AUCCAGACUCCUACGGGAGGCAGCCGUCGAGAAUCAUUCACAAUGGGGGAACCCCUGAUGGUGCGCCUCCUCGUGGGGGCAUGACGGUCUUCGGCUUUUCAACCCCUGUCCUUUGGGAGCAACUUCCCAAGAUAGUCCCCCCAGAGGAAUCUCCGUCUAACUCUUUUCCCGCAGCCGCUUUCCUACAGAGGUCUCCCGCGUUGUUCGGCCUCACUGGGCGUAAAGCGUGCGUAGGCUGUUUCGUAAGUCGUGUGGGAAAGGCGCGGGCGCAACCCGCGGACGGCACAUGAUACUGCGAGGCUAGAGUAAUGGAGGGGGAACCGGAAUUCUCAGUGUAGCAGUGAAAUGCGUAGAUAGAGAGAGGAACACUCGUGGCGAAGGCGGGGUCCUGGACAUUAACUGACGCUGAGGCACGAAGGCCAGGGGAGCGAACGGGAUUAGAUACCCCAGUAGAC
rnacentral:rRNA from 1 species